rnacentral:rRNA from 1 species
AGUGAACGCUGGCGGUAGGCCUAACACAUGCAAGUCGAACGGCAGCACAGUAAGAGCUUGCUCUUACGGGUGGCGAGUGGCGGACGGGUGAGGAAUGCAUCGGAAUCUACUCUGUCGUGGGGGAUAACGUAGGGAAACUUACGCUAAUACCGCAUACGACCUACGGGUGAAAGCAGGGGAUCUUCGGACCUUGCGCGAUUGAAUGAGCCGAUGCCCGAUUAGCUAGUUGGCGGGGUAAGAGCCCACCAAGGCGACGAUCGGUAGCUGGUCUGAGAGGAUGAUCAGCCACACUGGAACUGAGACACGGUCCAGACUCCUACGGGAGGCAGCAGUGGGGAAUAUUGGACAAUGGGCGCAAGCCUGAUCCAGCCAUACCG